UCCCCGGUAGCUCAGCGGUAGAGCAAUCGGCUGUUAACCGAUCGGUCGGCGGUUCGAAUCCGUCCCGGGGAGCCA
rnacentral:tRNA from 1 species